AUUGAACGCUGGCGGCAGGCCUAACACAUGCAAGUCGAGCGGAGCGGCGGACGGGUGAGUAAUGCCUAGGAAUCUGCCUGGUAGUGGGGGAUAACGUCCGGAAACGGGCGCUAAUACCGCAUACUAUCAGAUGAGCCUAGGUCGGAGUAGCUAGGUGGGGGGGUAAAGGCCUACCAAGGCGACGAUCGGCAACUGGUCUGAGAGGAUGAUCAGGCACAAUGGAACUGAGACACGGUCCCGACUCCGACGGGAGGCAGCAGUGGGGAAUAUUGGACAAUGGGCGAAAGCCUGAUCCAGCCAUGCCGCGUGUGUGAAGAAGGUCUGCGGAUUGUAAAGCACUUUAGGUAGGGAUGCGUUACCAACAGAAUAAGCACCGGCUAACUUCGUGCCAGCAGCCGCGGUAAUUC
rnacentral:rRNA from 1 species